rnacentral:rRNA from 1 species
CCUACGGGGGGCAGCAGUGGGGAAUAUUGGACAAUGGGGGGAACCCUGAUCCAGCCAUGCCGCGUGUGUGAAGAAGGCCCUCGGGUUGUAAAGCACUUUCAGUGAGGAAGAACGCCUGGUGGUUAAUACCCAUCAGGAAAGACAUCACUCACAGAAGAAGCACCGGCUAACUCCGUGCCAGCAGCCGCGGUAAUACGGAGGGUGCGAGCGUUAAUCGGAAUUACUGGGCGUAAAGCGCGCGUAGGUGGCUUGAUAAGCCGGUUGUGAAAGCCCCGGGCUCAACCUGGGAACGGCAUCCGGAACUGUCAAGCUAGAGUGCAGGAGAGGAAGGUAGAAUUCCCGGUGUAGCGGUGAAAUGCGUAGAGAUCGGGAGGAAUACCAGUGGCGAAGGCGGCCUUCUGGACUGACACUGACACUGAGGUGCGAAAGCGUGGUAGCAAACAGGAUUAGAUACCCCAGUAGUC